GAUUAUUAAGUGAUCUUGUCUGUUGUCUCACUUCAUCAUGAUCACAGAGUGAUUUUGGCUCAUGUUGACGUUCUGUAAGAUUGUUAUAUUCUAUAAAGUAAGACCGCAGCCAGUUCCUAACAACACUGAAGUCUUAAGACUCUGCAAUUAUCUAGCUGUGCAACCUUGGGCAAGUUACUCUAUUUCUCUACACUUUCCUCAUCUGUAAAAUGGUCUUUUGCCAGAGUGAAGAGAUAAACUGGAAAGAAGAGCUUAGAGAAAAAUGUGGGACGAAGUUUGAGUACAGACAUGAUUGCUGCAGCUCGAGGGGACCACCACAUGGAAUCUGCAAGUUAAAGAUGGUAGAGCAAUAGAAUGGGAGAGAAGGAGCCUGAGCCCUGACCACUCCAGCCUGAGACCUGCUAUAUUUAAGUGAAAGAGAAAUCAACCUUGAUUUUAACUCUUUUAUAUGAAUUUUCUGACAUACUCUUGUACUAUGACCGUUGAUGGUUUCCUGACGCUUCUAGUUUGCUUAUGAAAGGCAUUCCACUUUACUUUUACAUGACCUCCCAAGUGAUAAUAGAGGAGUGACCUGGAGGAGAAGAAGGUGGAAGCAAAGCCUCAUUAUCUGGAAAUGCUUCACAGGAGGUAUCAGUCACUUCUAGGUACUAAGAGGCAGGCAGGCCAAACAACAUUCUCCUUUUACCUUUAUAACCCAAUGGCAGUGCUAAGAGGGACCUUCUGGGAAAGGAAGACAGUUAAGUCUGGCUUUAUAACUUCUUAAAGCCUUUUCCACCUUACAUUCCUGCUAUAAAGAGGUAGGUUCUUGAAAGCAGAUGAGAAUAGAUCUUUAGCAUUUCAGCAUUCUCACCACACACACACACACACUGUACACACACACACACACACACACAGAGUUGACUAUUAACUAUGUGAGAUGAUGGAUGUGGUAAUUAUAUUGACCUUGGUAAUCAUUCUACUGUGUGUGUGUCAAAAAAAUAAAGAGUAGUGUCCAGUUUUCACCCUCAUGGAGCUAUUUUAAACACAAUAUUUUGAGUGUGUUAUUAAAUUAAAUUAAUGCUUUCUAGCCAGAUAAAUAAUAGCUGUACAAACAUUCAUUUAAGUAUUUCAAAAACUGUAAUAGAAAUUAUACAUUUACUCAUAGAAAGCCUGCCUAAAGUAACUAUGUAUCUAUUUAUCUAUUUGUCUAUCCACCUGACUGUCUAUCCACACACACAUUUGGCUGGAUUUAUAGCAAUUUAGCUAUUAGCAUUAGUUACUUAAGCCAUUCAGAAAGUCUUCACAGUGUUCGAACAAUCUUUUAAGAGAAAAAAUCAAGUUGAUUUUAAAAACCAACUUAGUAGGAAAAAAAUCAUUCAAAACAUGGGGUCCAUAUGUAAGAUAUAAUAAAAGUUAUCCUUAUGAAGGCUUUGGAAAGUACUGUACCCUUCUAGGUUGGGUGUGUGGCUUCUGGCUACAUAGUGUUAGAAAAUGUCCUUACGCAAGUGAGUAUCAUUGUGUUAGAACCUAGUAGAAAUUUAUCUUCUCAGGGAGGUGUCAUGUGUUCUUUCUCAAUCUGACUUUGCCUCUGGAUUUCCUGGUUCACAUUCAUGAUGGAGAUCUCCAGCUUUCAGGGCCUCUCUCUUACAGGCUAAAUGCAGAUUCUCAGCAUACAGUUGAUGGCCUUUUAAUCCCUCAAUCUGUCAUAGUGUGCAAUAUCUCUUUGGCACUGCUGCCUGUCCAGUCAGUACCACAUGCUUUAUGCUGGGUGGAUCUCCAGAGCAAUGGCAGGAAAUGAACACCAGAUUCUCUAGGCCUGUAAGGAAGAGGCAAUGAUGAAAUCCUAUGGGGGAGAGGGAGAGAGAAGAUUCUCCUUUAAAUAGUGCAGGAAUAUAUAUAACUAUCAAACUCUGGCAAUAUUCAAUAUGAUGUUAGAUAACCAAGUGGUAAACUUUCAGGGAGAAACAUCAGGACUGGAGCUGUAUUGAUAAAUACCCUACAGAUGUUCAUUCAUAUGUUUAAAGAUAUUCAUGGUAUGGAGUGUUUACUAUGCCAGGGACCCUUCUGGACUCUGCUGAUUCCAGUGAUGAAUGGAACAGUUCCUGUUCAUUCUUAUAUUCCAGGGAGGGUGACAGGCAAUAUAGCUGGGCAAACUCACGUGGUUACAGGCAGUGAUAAAAUACUGUGACGAAAAAUUAAAAUGUUGGCCACUAGAUGGAGCUCAUUGCCUUUUUCAUUUCACUUACCAAUCCAUUCAAAAAGAGAGAGAUGCUAAGUGCAUGAUAUACUAUUAAAGUUCUGUUUUGGGGCCAGGUGAUAUAGGCUGUCUCUCUCUCUCUCCCUACAUCUCUCUCCUUUAAAAAAAGAUUUUAUUUAUUUAUUCAUGAGAGACAGGAAAGAGAGCAGAGACAGGAGGCUGAAGGAGAAGCA